rnacentral:rRNA from 1 species
UAGGGAAUAUUGCAAAAUGGGCGAAAGCCCGAUGCAGCAACGCCGCGUGGGCGAUGAAGGCCUUCGGGUCGUAAAGCCCUUUUUGAGGGGAUGAGGAAGGACAGUACCCUCAGAAUAAGCCUCGGCUAACUACGUGCCAGCAGCCGCGGUAAAACGUAGGAGGCGAGCUUUAUCCGGAUUUACUGGGCGUAAAGCGCGUGCAGGCGGAUUGGAGAGUUGGAUGUGGAAGCUCCCGGCUUAACUGGGAGAGGUCGUUCAAUACUUCCAGUCUUGAGUGCAGUAGAGGGAAGUGGAAUUCCAGGUGUAGUGGUGAAAUGCGUAGAUAUCCGGAGGAACACCAGUGGCGAAAGCGGCUUCCUGGACUGUAACUGACGCUCAGACGCGAAAGCUAGGGUAGCAAACG